CCGGAUGUAAUUCAGUUUGGUUAGAAUGCUUGUUUUGGGAACAAGAUGCCGCAGGUUCGAGUCCUGUCAUCCGGA
rnacentral:tRNA from 1 species